rnacentral:lncRNA from 1 species
GUUGUGGAAGCACUGCCUAGUUAGUUCCAAGCCUAUAAAAGGACGCAAGGCCAUUCCAAAUAAUUCAUUCCAUUCUUGGCAACACUAGAAACAGAGAACAGAACAUAAGAGAAACAGAGAGAAGGAGGCAGAUUGAAGGAGAUUUGAAGACGGAUACACAACAAUAGUUGAGACAUCAUCAUUGAUAUGUUUGUUCAUCUCUUUUCUUCUUUAUCUUUUGUAAAGCUAUCAUGAAAAUGAAUAGCUAAUCUCUCUUUUGUUGGGAUUAGAUGUAACUAACUCUAGUAAUAUGUAUAUUUUAUGAUCAUGGUAUUAUAUAUGAUUUUAGAUUAUCCAUUAAUAUUGGUGUUGUUCUUGAUUUUUAUGUUUUAAUUAUAGGGUUUAACUUGUUAUAGACAUAUACUUUUUGAACCCAAAGAAUUAGGAUAAUAUCUAUUAAAUUCUAAAUUCUAGAUAUAGAUUUAGGUUUAAUAUUCACUUAGAGUAUCGAAGCUUAAUGCUAUUAUAUCGAUUGACGAUCCGAGACAUCUGAUGUUAAUAGGUAUAAUAGAUAUCUCGGCGUUAUCUGGACACGGAAACGUACGACGAGCGGUACGUGAUAAUAUUGAGGGAUGUCUAAAAUCUAUAUAACUGAUUUGGAGAAUACAUAUGAAUGAGUUAGCGAUGUCUAAAUCCCAGCAAACUUAUCUCUCUGUGAUUCCAAUCAUUUCUUUAACAUCACUAUAUUUUCGUACUUUCUCAUAAACAAACUCCGUNN